rnacentral:rRNA from 1 species
AUUGAACGCUGGCGGCAUGCCUUACACAUGCAAGUCGAACGGCAGCAUGAUCUAGCUUGCUAGAUUGAUGGCGAGUGGCGAACGGGUGAGUAAUACAUCGGAACGUGCCCUGUAGUGGGGGAUAACUAGUCGAAAGAUUAGCUAAUACCGCAUACGACCUGAGGGUGAAAGUGGGGGACCGCAAGGCCUCAUGCUAUAGGGGCGGCCGAUGUCUGAUUAGCUAGUUGGUGAGGUAAAGGCUCACCAAGGCGACGAUCAGUAGCUGGUCUGAGAGGACGAUCAGCCACACUGGGACUGAGACACGGCCCAGACUCCUACGGGAGGCAGCAGUGGGGAAUUUUGGACAAUGGGCGAAAGCCUGAUCCAGCAAUGCCGCGUGUGUGAAGAAGGCCUUCGGGUUGUAAAGCACUUUUGUCCGGAAAGAAAUGGCUCUGGUUAAUACCUGGGGUCGAUGACGGUACCGGAAGAAUAAGGACCGGCUAACUACGUG